GGGGUUGUGGGAAAAUGGCUAAUCCGCUGUGUUCGGGCUAACGCGAUGGUUCUCUCACAGAUAUUCCCGGUUCGAGUCCGGGCAACCCCC